rnacentral:rRNA from 3 species
AUAAGCAAUUAUACAGCGAAACUGCGAAUGGCUCAUUAUAUAAGUUAUCGUUUAUUUGAUAGUACCUUACUACUUGGAUAACCGUGGUAAUUCUAGAGCUAAUACAUGCUAAAAAUCCCGACUUCGGAAGGGAUGUAUUUAUUAGAUUAAAAACCAAUGCCCUUCGGGGCUCCUUGGUGAUUCAUGAUAACUAUUCGAAUCGCAUGGCCUUGUGCCGGCGAUGGUUCAUUCAAAUUUCUUCCCUAUCAACUUUCGAUGUUUGGGUAUUGGCCAAACAUGGUUGCAACGGGUAACGGAGGGUUAGGGCUCGACCCCGGAGAAGGAGCCUGAGAAACGGCUACUACAUCCAAGGAAGGCAGCAGGCGCGCAAAUUACCCAAUCCCGACUCGGGGAGGUAGUGACAAUAAAUACUGAUACAGGGCUCUUUUGGGUCUUGUAAUUGGAAUGAGUACAAUUUAAAUCUCUUAACGAGGAACAAUUGGAGGGCAAGUCUGGUGCCAGCAGCCGCGGUAAUUCCAGCU